UACGAGGGGGGCGAGCGUUGUUCGGAAUUAUUGGGCGUAAAGGGUGCGUAGGCGGUUCCGCAAGUCCUGUGUGAAAUCUUCGGGCUCAACUCGAAGUCUGCACGGGAAACUGCGGGGCUUGAGUGUGGGAGAGGUGAGUGGAAUUCCCGGUGUAGCGGUGAAAUGCGUAGAUAUCGGGAGGAACGCCUGUGGCGAAAGCGGCUCACUGGACCAUAACUGACGCUGAUGCACGAAAGCUAGGGGAGCAAACAGG
rnacentral:rRNA from 1 species